rnacentral:rRNA from 1 species
AGCGUAGGCGGGAUCGUAUGUCUGCCGUGAAAUCCACCGGCUCAACCGGUGAACUGCGGUAGAAACUGCGAUUCUUGAGUUCGGUAGAGGAAUGCGGAAUUCCUGGUGUAGCGGUGGAAUGCGUAGAUAUCAGGAAGAACACCGGUAGCGAAGGCGGCAUUCUGGGACGUAUCUGACGCUGAGGCUCGAAAGCCGGGGGAGCGAACAGGAUUAGAUACCCUGGUAGUCC